CCUCAGCAGCGGGAGGCCCCGGCCGCCGCGCCUGGGGCUCGCAGCACAGAAAGGGGCCCUGGGCAGCAGAAAGAGGGGCGCUGCAGUAAAAAAGGGGGGUGUUGCAGUAAAAAAGGGGAUGCUGCAGCGGAAAGCAGGGUGCUGAGCUGCUCUCCCAGCACUUCAGUGCCUGCUGAGCUCCCUCUCUGCUGGCAGGGUGCUCGGGGGCUUGCUCGGGUGCUGUCGUGGCAGAACAGGUUCUAUAUUUUUGGAUGGUGUCAAGGCGGAGCUUUGUAUCCUCCUGUCCCAAAGAGCAGAGGGGAAAGGAGGAACGUGAUCUGCUCCUGGAGCCUUGCUGGAGCUGAGUGCUCCCCCGCACCAUCCCAUAACCAGUUACCCCAUGUGGGUGCUGCUGGGCGGCCCCAUCCCAAGGCGCCGCGCCGCUCCCCAGCUUCGAAGCUGAGCCGAAGCCCUCUCGACCUCCGUGGCCGAAGUCAUGUUUAGCGCAAAUUCAUCCCAGUCCCACAUGCAGAAUUAGAUAACCUUAUCACCGCAUCCUGCACAGAUCAGUAACUCUGCAUGGCUGUCAGCUCCUUUCAGCCAGCCGUAAUUGCCUAGCAACGUCGCGCUGUCUCUUUGGAGGCAGCCUAAUUCGGUUUCUGGUCAUCCAUACCAGAGCCCCACGCAGGCAUCUGGCAAAGCGGGGGGCAGACGGGCACGGAGAGCGGCCGGAGCAGCGGGCACCGCGAUGGGCAGGCAGCAAUAAGGUCUUCCUGAGCAGUCUGAGAUCCUGGUUAAGCUGUAUGCCCGUGCCUGUGCCACCGCUUAUCCAUUUAUUCCAAGGAAUAAAAUGGGAUUUAGGCAAGGGCAGGCAUCUGGCGUUGUGCUUCCCUGCCCAAACCCGACCCGCAGCGAGCGAUGCCAGCUGUGAAGGGGUUUACCCAUAUCUGCUGCUGUGUCUGGAGGUGCCUUACAGCAAGGGCCAGCAGCGGGCCUGGUGCUGGGAACUGUCAGCGGAAAGUCUGAGUAUCGCUGUGUUGUGGGGCAGCCUUGGCUCAGGACGGGGUACAAAACCUCCGUUUUGGCAUUUACUGACCAGGGAGCGUUUGGCUGCGGGAUCUGAACUCUUCAGCUGUGUUCCCAUGUAGAAACCACGCAUAAGAAGCAGUGAGUCUCUUUAAGAUAAAUUAAAUGCUAAUGCUGAUUUAGAAAGGGUUUAUGGGAGGUAGCCCGUGGCUCAGGCUGGCAAUGCAGAGGUGGAAAACAGAGGCUGGGUGAAGGAACAGGGGCCACAGCUGCUGUCCUGGCCCCAUCCCUGCAGUGAUGGGAAAUGGGUGCCUGGCGCUGCAGGGUGCUGAGCUUCUCCUAACAGUGCCAAGCACUGCCCAGCUCCCUGGGGAUCGGCUGGAGCUGAGCGUGAGUGUCUUAUGGUGCUGGGGAUGUUAAAAAGUAAAUAUAGGUAAUUUCAUGUAGAUAGGUGAGAGCCCUGUACUGCCACAGAAAUGCCGCCGUUGAGCUUGAUGAUUUCCCCUGGGGAUGGGUGGGCUCGUGCUGCAGACUUCCAGGUCUGAGAUUUCCCCAGAGCUGUUGGAGCCGCAGUUUCGGAGCCAGCCCAGCUGUGCCUGUGAGUUUAAACCCAGACCCAGACACCAAGUCUUGGGGGGGGGGGGCGGUGGUGGAGGCUUUUUCUUUGGGCUCAUCCCAAACUGAGACCUCCAGCCCCACCGGCGCAGCUGCCGCUGUUCGG